AGCGAACGCUGGCGGCAGGCCUAACACAUGCAAGUUGAACGAACUCUUCGGAGUUAGUGGCGGACGGGUGAGUAACACGUGGGAACGUGCCUUUUGGUUCGGAAUAACUCAGGGAAACUUGUGCUAAUACCGAAUGUGCCCUUCGGGGGAAAGAUUUAUCGCCAUUAGAGCGGCCCGCGUCUGAUUAGCUAGUUGGUGAGGUAACGGCUCACCAAGGCGACGAUCAGUAGCUGGUCUGAGAGGAUGACCAGCCACACUGGGACUGAGACACGGCCCAGACUCCUACGGGAGGCAGCAGUGGGGGAUCUUGCGCAAUGGGCGGAAGCCUGACGCAGCCAUGCCGCGUGAAUGAUGAAGGUCUUAGGGUUGUAAAAUUCUUUCACCGGGGACGAUAAUGACGGUACCCGGAGAAGAAGCCCCGGCUAACUUCGUG
rnacentral:rRNA from 1 species